rnacentral:rRNA from 1 species
CGACCAAGGGCUAUCAGCUUGUUGGUGAGGUAAUGGCUCACCAAGGCGUCGACGGGUAGCCGGCCUGAGAGGGUGACCGGCCACACUGGGACUGAGACACGGCCCAGACUCCUACGGGAGGCAGCAGUGGGGAAUAUUGCACAAUGGGCGGAAGCCUGAUGCAGCAACGCCGCGUGAGGGAUGACGGCCUUCGGGUUGUAAACCUCUUUUAGCAGGGAAGAAGCGAGAGUGACGGUACCUGCAGAAAAAGCACCGGCUAACUACGAGCAAGCAGCCGCGGUAAUACGUAGGGUGCAAGCGUUAUCCGGAAUUAUUGGGCGUAAAGAGCUCGUAGGCGGUUUGUCGCGUCUGCUGUGAAAUCCCGAGGCUCAACCUCGGGCCUGCAGUGGGUACGGGCAGACUAGAGUGCGGUAGGGGAGAUUGGAAUUCCUGGUGUAGCGGUGGAAUGCGCAGAUAUCAGGAGGAACACCGAUGGCGAAGGCAGAUCUCUGGGCCGUAACUGACGCUGAGGAGCGAAAGGGUGGGGAGCAAACAGGCUUAGAUACCCUGGUAGUCCACCCCGUAAACGUUGGGAACUAGUUGUGGGGUCCUUUCACGGGAUUCCGUGACGCAGCUAACGCAUUAAGUUCCCCGCCUGGGGAGUACGGCCGCAAGGCUAAAACUCAAAGGAAUUGACGGGGACCCGCACAAGCGGCGGAGCAUGCGGAUUAAUUCGAUGCAACGCGAAGAACCUUACCAAGGCUUGACAUACACCAGAACACCGUAGAAAUACGGGACUCUUUGGAACUGGUGAA